rnacentral:rRNA from 1 species
CGUACACAAAAAUGCACAUGCUGUGAGCUCGAUGAGUAGGGCGGGACACGUGGUAUCCUGUCUGAAUAUGGGGGGACCAUCCUCCAAGGCUAAAUACUCCUGACUGACCGAUAGUGAACCAGUACCGUGAGGGAAAGGCGAAAAGAACCCCGGCGAGGGGAGUGAAAAAGAACCUGAAACCGUGUACGUACAAGCAGUGGGAGCCUCUUUUAUGGGGUGACUGCGUACCUUUUGUAUAAUGGGUCAGCGACUUAUAUUCUGUAGCAAGGUUAACCGAAUAGGGGAGCCGAAGGGAAACCGAGUCUUAACUGGGCGUUAAGUUGCAGGGUAUAGACCCGAAACCCGGUGAUCUAGCCAUGGGCAGGUUGAAGGUUGGGUAACACUAACUGGAGGACCGAACCGACUAAUGUUGAAAAAUUAGCGGAUGACUUGUGGCUGGGGGUGAAAGGCCAAUCAAACCGGGAGAUAGCUGGUUCUCCCCGAAAGCUAUUUAGGUAGCGCCUCGUGAAUUCAUCUCCGGGGGUAGAGCACUGUUUCGGCAAGGGGGUCAUCCCGACUUACCAACCCGAUGCAAACUGCGAAUACCGGAGAAUGUUAUCACGGGAGACACACGGCGGGUGCUAACGUCCGUCGUGAAGAGGGAAACAACCCAGACCGCCAGCUAAGGUCCCAAAGUCAUGGUUAAGUGGGAAACGAUGUGGGAAGGCCCAGACAGCCAGGAUGUUGGCUUAGAAGCAGCCAUCAUUUAAAGAAAGCGUAAUAGCUCACUGGUCGAGUCGGCCUGCGCGGAAGAUGUAACGGGGCUAAACCAUGCACCGAAGCUGCGGCAGCGACGCUUAUGCGUUGUUGGGUAGGGGAGCGUUCUGUAAGCCUGUGAAGGUGUGCUGUGAGGCAUGCUGGAGGUAUCAGAAGUGCGAAUGCUGACAUAAGUAACGAUAAAGCGGGUGAAAAGCCCGCUCGCCGGAAGACCAAGGGUUCCUGUCCAACGUUAAUCGGGGCAGGGUGAGUCGACCCCUAAGGCGAGGCCGAAAGGCGUAGUCGAUGGGAAACAGGUUAAUAUUCCUGUACUUGGUGUUACUGCGAAGGGGGGACGGAGAAGGCUAUGUUGGCCGGGCGACGGUUGUCCCGGUUUAAGCGUGUAGGCUGGUUUUCCAGGCAAAUCCGGAAAAUCAAGGCUGAGGCGUGAUGACGAGGCACUACGGUGCUGAAGCAACAAAUGCCCUGCUUCCAGGAAAAGCCUCUAAGCAUCAGGUAACAUCAAAUCGUACCCCAAACCGACACAGGUGGUCAGGUAGAG